UACGGAGGGUGCGAGCGUUAAUCGGAAUUACUGGGCGUAAAGCGCACGCAGGCGGUUUGUUAAGCNAGAUGUGAAAGCCCCGGGCUCAACCUGGGAUGGUCAUUUAGAACUGGCAGACUAGAGUCUUGGAGAGGGGAGUGGAAUUCCAGGUGUAGNGGUGAAAUGCGUAGAUAUCUGGAGGAACAUCAGUGGCGAAGGCGACUCCCUGGCCAAAGACUGACGCUCANGUGCGAAAGUGUGGGGAGCGAACAGG
rnacentral:rRNA from 1 species